GACGAACGCUGGCGGCGUGCCUAAUACAUGCAAGUCGAGCGGACCAAAGGGAGCUUGCUCCUGGAGGUUAGCGGCGAACGGGUGAGUAACACGUGGGCAACCUGCCUGUAAGACUGGGAUAACAUCGAGAAAUCGGUGCUAAUACCGGAUAAUAAAAAGAACUGCAUGGUUCUUUUUUGAAAGAUGGUUUCGGCUAUCACUUACAGAUGGGCCCGCGGCGCAUUAGCUAGUUGGUGAGGUAACGGCUCACCAAGGCGACGAUGCGUAGCCGACCUGAGAGGGUGAUCGGCCACACUGGGACUGAGACACGGCCCAGACUCCUACGGGAGGCAGCAGUAGGGAAUCUUCCGCAAUGGACGAAAGUCUGACGGAGCAACGCCGCGUGAGUGAUGAAGGUUUUCGGAUCGUAAAAACUCUAGUUGUUAGGGAAGAACAAGUGCCGUUCGAAAGGCGGCACCUUGACGGUACCUAACGAGAAAGCCACGGCUAACUACGUGCCAGCAGCCGCGGUAAAG
rnacentral:rRNA from 1 species